rnacentral:rRNA from 1 species
AUGGAGAAGUCGUCGUUCGCGUCGGCGAGCUCGGGCGAGCUCACCGCCGCCGUUUACGGAGCAGGGAGGCCGGUGAGGGUGAUACCGCUGCGCCACCCACUGGAUGCGGCUGUGCGGGAGGCGGCCGCCUCCUCCUCCCCGUCACCGUUGUCGGCGGCGAUGGAGAGGGCGCGGGCGAUGGGGCCGUGGGAGUGGGCGGAGGCGGCUCUCCCGUGCUUGGCGUGGAUGCGGAGCUACAGAUGGAAGGACUUCCAGGCCGACCUCGCCGCCGGCAUCACUGUCGGCGUCAUGCUUGUGCCUCAGGCAAUGUCAUAUGCAAAGCUCGCUGGGCUUCACCCAAUUUAUGGGCUCUACACAGGCUUUGUCCCACUAUUUGUCUACGCGAUUUUUGGGUCCUCACGACAAUUAGCAGUAGGCCCAGUGGCACUUGUUUCUCUGCUAGUGUCCAAUGUUCUUGGGGGUAUAGUUAAUUCAUCUAGUGAGUUCUACACGGAGUUAGCCAUAUUAUUGGCAUUCAUGGUUGGAAUAUUGGAAUGCUUGAUGGGAUUGCUAAGACUCGGCUGGCUUAUUCGUUUCAUUAGCCAUUCUGUAAUAUCUGGAUUCACUACAGCUUCGGCCAUCGUAAUUGGUUUGUCCCAAAUCAAGUAUUUCUUGGGUUAUAGCGUUACAAGAAGCAGCAAAAUUAUACCACUUGUUGAGAGUAUAAUUGCUGGAAUAGAUCAGUUCUCCUGGCCUCCAUUUGUAAUGGGAUCAGCGUUUCUUGUUAUUCUUCUAAUAAUGAAAAAACUAGGAAAAACGAAUAAAAAUUUACGUUUCCUGAGAGCUUCUGGUCCACUAACAGCUGUUGUUCUUGGAACAUUGUUUGUGAAAAUAUUCCGUCCACCUGCCAUAUCAGUGGUAGGUGAAAUACCGCAAGGCCUUCCCAGUUUCUCCAUUCCUCGAGGAUUUGAACAUCUGAUGUCCCUAAUGCCAACAGCAAUACUUAUCACUGGUGUUGCCAUUUUGGAGUCUGUUGGGAUCGCUAAAGCGUUAGCUGCGAAGAAUGGUUAUGAGUUGGACUCCAAUAAAGAGUUAUUUGGCCUUGGCCUAUCAAAUAUAUGCGGUUCAUUCUUCUCUGCAUAUCCUGCUACAGGCUCCUUUUCUAGGUCUGCUGUGAAUCAUGAAAGUGGGGCAAAGACUGGAUUGUCAGGAAUCAUAAUGGGCAUAAUAAUUUGCAGUGCUCUCUUGUUUAUGACACCAUUAUUUACUGAUAUACCUCAGUGUGCAUUGGCUGCCAUUGUGAUUUCUGCUGUCACUGGCCUGGUAGAUUAUGAAGAGGCCAUCUUCCUGUGGGGUAUUGAUAAGAAGGAUUUCUUUCUGUGGGCGAUGACGUUUGUUACAACCUUAACUUUUGGCAUUGAGAUUGGUGUCCUUGUUGGGGUCGGGUUCUCGCUGGCAUUUGUAAUCCAUGAAUCGGCAAAUCCGCAUAUAGCUGUUUUGGGCCGUUUGCCUGGCACCACUGUGUACAGGAAUACAUUGCAAUACCCUGAGGCUUAUACAUACAGCGGGAUUGUUGUUGUCCGUGUUGAUGCGCCAAUCUACUUUGCUAAUAUAAGUUACAUAAAAGACAGGUUGCGUGAGUAUGAGCUCAAACUCCCAAAUUCAAACCGGGGACCUGAUGUUGGAAGGGUGUAUUUUGUGAUCCUCGAAAUGUCUCCUGUUACGUACAUCGACUCGAGCGCUGUUCAAGCUCUCAAGGACCUGCACCAAGAAUACAAAGCACGCGACAUCCAGAUUGCUAUAGCGAACCCUAACCGGCAGGUGCAUCUACUGCUGUCAAGAGCGGGCAUCAUCGACAUGAUUGGCGCAGGGUGGUGUUUCGUCCGAGUGCACGACGCGGUGCAAGUAUGCCUCCAGCAUGUGCAGAGCUCAUCGUCGAAUGCCAUCAAGUUAUCCCCACAGGCGUCUGGGAACUUGACUGAGUCUCCCAAGGCGCAGCAGCGGUAUGGCUUCCUGAGGAACCUCUGGCAAGCACAAGACGGGAAUGGGAGCGCCGGUGACGAGGCCCAGUCGUUGCUGCGCCAAAACCUUGUGUAG